rnacentral:rRNA from 1 species
AUUGAACGCUGGCGGCAGGCCUAACACAUGCAAGUCGAACGAGUGGCGGACGGGUGAGUAAUGUCUGGGAAACUGCCCGAUGGAGGGGGAUAACUACUGGAAACGGUAGCUAAUACCGCAUACCAUGGGAUGUGCCCAGAUGGGAUUAGCUAGUAGGUGGGGAAACGGCUUAACUACGCGACGAUCCCUAGCUGGUCUGAGAGGAUGACCAGCCACUCUGGAACUGAGUCACGGUCCAGACUCCUAGCGGAGGCACCAGUGGGGAAUAUUGCACAAUGGGCGCAAGCCUGAUGCAGCCAUGCCGCUUGAAUGAAGUAGGCCUUCGGGUUGUAAAGUACUUUCAGCGAGGAGGGGUUACUCGCAGAAGAAGCACCGGCUAACUCCGUGCCAACCGCCGCGGUAAUAC